GGUGAGUAACACGUGGGUAAUCUGCCCUCGGCACUGGGAUAUUCCCGGGAAACCCGGAUUAAUACCGGAUAGCCUUUCGAGCCUUCGGGCUCGUCAGAAAAGGUGGCUUCGGCUUCCGGCUGAGGAUGAGCCCGCGGCGGAUUAGCUUGUUGGUGAGGUAAUGGCUCACCAAGGCUCCGAUCUGUAGCUGGUCUGAGAGGACGAUCAGCCACACUGGGACUGAGACACGGCCCAGACUCCUACGGGAGGUAUUAGUAGGGAAUCUUGCGCAAUGGGGGAAAGCCUGACGCAGCGACGCCGCGUGCGGGAAGAAGGCCUUCGGGUUGUAAACCGCUUUCAGGAGGGACGAAGCCACUCGGGUUAAUAGCCCAGAGGGCCGACGGUACCUCCAGAAGAAGCCCCGGUUAACUACGUGCCAGCAACCGCGG
rnacentral:rRNA from 1 species